GUCCCUGUAGCUCAGUGGAUAGCGCGUUGGACCUCUAAUCCAAAGGUGCCGUGUUCGAGUCCCGGCAGGGAUG